GUCUACAGCCAUGCCACCCUGAACGUGCCCAAUCUCAUCUGACCUCAGAAGUUAAGCAGGGUCGGGCCUGGUUAGUACUUGGAUGGGAGACCACCUUGGAAUACCAGGUGCUGUAAGUG
rnacentral:rRNA from 1 species